GCUAGUUUAAAUAAUAGAAUCAAUCAUGUGUGGUAUUGUAGCAUUGGACCCUAUCUGUCAUAUCUGACACUAUCAACUACUGCUUCGUGAAUUUUCUAAAAUAAGCAAAAUUACUCAUAUUUUAAUACAUAUUCAACUGAAUAUAAACAUAUCAAUACUCUUAAAAACUAAAAAUAAUAGUGGAAACAAAUUUUUUAACAGAAAUAACAAUGUUUAAAAUUGAUGCUAAUUCCAUAUUAUAAAAAUGAAAAAAAAUUUGAUAUAGCCUGCCUGGAAAAACCGAGUCAAAUGGCUAAAGGGCUCAGUCAAAGAGUCAAACAGUCAAAGGGCUCGAUCAAAGAAUCAAACAGUCAAAGGGCUCCGUGAAACAAAAAAGACAAUAGUUUUGUGAAACAUAAGAU
rnacentral:misc_RNA from 1 species